rnacentral:lncRNA from 1 species
UUCAGUAAACUUGAAAGAAAAUCAUCUGUGAAUUCUUUCAGGUUGUAACUGACAGUUGUGAUAAUCCAGACGGAAUAUGCACUGGUGACUUUAAAGUAAGGGCUAUAAUCUUUGACGGUCCCAAAGCAGUGCAGCUCUGUAGAAGGUAGUGGAAGGACCUUUUCUUUCUACUUUGUUGAGGAAAUUACUUAGGAAUUUAGAUGGGUAAAAGGUACCUUGCCUUACUCCACUCUUAUUUUCUUAGCCCCCUUUCCUUUUGAAUGCUCUAACUCAUUUCAUGUCAUGGUAGGAAAUGCACUCUCCAUCUCCACUCCUUUGCCCUCCCAGGAAGUCAGUGCACUGAUUGUCUUUUUGGGCUUCCCCUCCAAAGGACCUUUCCCUGCACUGGAAGCCUCCACACCUAGCUUUUGUUUUGUCACUGCUGUGUUCAGAUUGAUUGGACAGAUCUUUGUGCCACACAGGAAUUUUUUUUUUUUUUUUUAAGAAAAAUCUAUAGGUGAAAAAUUACUAAUGAAACUGUGUGCGUAUAUGUCCGUGCG